AAGCCAAUGGGUGUGGAAAUAUACAUAGAAAUGUUGAUCUUGUUAUAGAUAGUAUAAAAAAUUUUCUAUCAAAAUUUUAUCUGAUUUGAAUACUUAUACACCGUUAAACUUGCAAAUGGCAUAUAUCAAUCAUUAAAAAUUAUUGAUUUUGAAUCCUUUCGAUCACUAGGUAAAUGAUAUAAAAAAACCGCAAAAAUUAUUUUCUAGAUAGUUCAAAUACGCUAAAUUAAGUCUAACGAAAUCGAUCAUAGAUUCGAAAGUCCCAUCAUCGAAAUCGACUUAGGAGCACAGAGGCCUCCGUGCUACUAAUAGCACACAAGACCUACUCUAUAUAUA
rnacentral:lncRNA from 1 species